UACGUAGGGCGCAAGCGUUGUCCGGAAUUAUUGGGCGUAAAGAGCUCGUCGGCGGUCUGUUGCGUCCGCUGUGAAAACCCAGGGCUUAACCCUGGGCUUGCAGUGGAUACGGGCAGACUAGAGGCAGGUAGGGAAGAAUGGAAUUCCCGGUGUAGCGGUGAAAUGCGCAGAUAUCGGGAGGAACACCGGUGGCGAAGGCGGUUCUCUGGGCCUGACCUGACGCUGAGGAGCGAAAGCGUGGGGAGCGAACAGG
rnacentral:rRNA from 1 species